GUAGGACGCGAGCGUUAUCCGGAGUUACUGGGCGUAAAGCGCGGGCAGGCGGCUUGUCAAGUGGGAUGUGAAAGCGCCCAGGCUUAACCGGGCGAGGCCAUUCCAAACUGAUGGGCUGGAGGGCAGUAGAGGUCGGUAGAAUUCCGGGUGGAGUGGUGAAAUGCGUAGAGAUCCGGAGGAAUACCAGAGGCGAAGGCGGCCGACUGGGCUGCACCUGACGCUGAGCCGCGAAAGCCAGGGGAGCGAACGGGAUUAGAAACCCCGGUAGUCCUGGCCGUAAACGAUGUCUGCUGGGUGCUGGGGUCGAAGGACUUCGGCGCCGGAGCUAACGCGAUAAGCAGACCGCCUGGGGAGUACGGUCGCAAGGCUAAA
rnacentral:rRNA from 1 species